UAGCUCAGUCAGUAGAGCGUAGAGCUAACAGCGCUAAGGUUGCGGGUUCGAUUCCUGU
rnacentral:tRNA from 1 species